rnacentral:piRNA from 1 species
UGACUACAGAGACCUCUGCUAACUCAAGG